UGGGGAAAGAGAAGCCCAUACUGUUGGCCUUACUUCUUAGUUCUUACUCCAUCUUCUCUUUUCCUCUUUAAGUCAACUCUGAUCUAGAUUCUUUCUUCUACACCCAGCAGUCUCCUCUCCUCUCUUCCUGGUACCAAAAAGGGGUAGGAGAGACAUCACCCCUCCCCUUUACUCCACGGAAACAAUAUCACCUUUGAGCUGCUGACACAGUCCAAGUAUUAAGGAAAUUAAGGAAGGAAUGGGACAGAUCAGGAGUUGGAAUGAGAACAUGGCAAGGUGAAGGAAAGACUCAAUGGUUCGUGGUUCAGUUUUCCUAAACUAAUGCCCUCAGAGGCUGGGCUACACCUCCCUUCAAGGCUAACCAAAGGACAUAUUUGGUUAGCCUUGGUGUCACAGCAGACUAAAGUGCUGUUAAGUAACACCAGCUGCCUGCAAUUACUGCAAGUUCAAAUCUCACCAGGCUCAAGGUUGAUUCAGCCUUCCAUCCUUUCAAGGAUAUGUUCCUUUUGAACUGUCAACACAGAUGCAAAUGAGCAAGAAUAAGGGCAGAUCCUCAUAGCAACAUGGAUAUCAGAUAACAUUGUGGGUGCAAUGCCUUUUUUAUGAUGGGCAGAUUAUCUCUGUUUGCAGUAUGAUCAAUCACAAUGAGACGAUAUCAA